CCUACGGGUGGCAGCAGUGAGGAAUAUUGGUCAAUGGACGAGAGUCUGAACCAGCCAAGUAGCGUGAAGGAUGACUGCCCUCUGGGUUGUAAACGUCUUUUAUAAAGGAAUAAAACGAGGCACGUGUGCCUUUUUGCAUGUACUUUAUGAAUAAGGAUCGGCUAACUCCGUGCCAGCAGCCGCGGUAAUAAGGAGGAGCAGAGCGUUAUCUGGAUGUAUUGUGUUGAAAGGGAGCGGAGAUGGGUUGGUAAGUCAGUUGUGAAAGUUUGGGGCGCAACCGGAAAAUCGCAAUUGAUACUGGCAGUCUUGAGUACAGUUGAGGUAGGCGGAAUUCGAUGUGAAGCGGUGAAAUGCUUAGAUAUCACGAAGAACCCCGAUUGCGAAGGCAGCUUACUAAAUUGUGACUGACAUUGAUGGUCGAAAGUGUGGGUAUCAAACAGGAUUAGAUACCCGUGUAGUC
rnacentral:rRNA from 1 species